AGAGUUUGAUUCUGGCUCAGAUUGAACGCUGGCGGCAUGCCUAACACAUGCAAGUCGAACGGUAACGACGGAAGCUUGCUUCCGGGCGACGAGUGGCGGACGGGUGAGUAACGCGUAGGAAUCUGCCCAGUAGUGGGGGACAACUCGAGGAAACUCGAGCUAAUACCGCAUACGCCCUACGGGGGAAAGCGGGGGAUCUUCGGACCUCGCGCUAUUGGAUGAGCCUGCGUCGGAUUAGCUUGUUGGUGGGGUAAAGGCCUACCAAGGCGACGAUCCGUAGCUGGUCUGAGAGGACGACCAGCCACACUGGGACUGAGACACGGCCCAGACUCCUACGGGAGGCAGCAGUGGGGAAUAUUGGACAAUGGGCGCAAGCCUGAUCCAGCAAUGCCGCGUGUGUGAAGAAGGCCUUCGGGUCGUAAACUCCUGUCGAGAGGGACGAAAGUCGGGGAGGUUAAUAGCCUCUUCGGUUGACGGUACCUCCAAAGGAAGCCCCGGCUAACUCCGUGCCAGCAGCCGCGGUAACACGGAGGGAGCAAACGUUGUUCGGAAUCACUGGGCGUAAAGGGCGCGUAGGCGGCUUCGUAAGUCGGGGGUGAAAACCAGUGGCUCAACCACUGGCCUGCCUCCGAAACUUCGAAGCUUGAGGCCGUGAGAGGAAAGCGGAAUUCCUGGUGUAUCGGUGAAAUGUGUAGAUAUCUGGAGGAACACCGGUGGCGAAAGCGGCUCACUGGCCUGUCUCUGACGCUGAGGUGCGAAAGCUAGGGGAGCGAACGGGAUUAGAUACCCCGGUAGUCCUAGCCGUAAACGAUGGGCACUAGGCAGCGGGCCUUCCUAUGGGGCUCUCUGGCGUAGCUAAUGGUGUAAGUGCCCCGCCUGGGGGAGUACGCUCGCCAAGGGGUAAAACUUCAAAGGGAAUUUGAACGGGAAAGGGCCAAAUUUUCCUUUUAAACCCCUGCCCAGGGAAUUAAAUUCCCCCCUUUUUAAGGGGGGGAGGGGGGUUUUAUAAAAUCUCUCUCUU
rnacentral:rRNA from 1 species